UUGGAGGGCAAGUCUGGUGCCAGCAGCCGCGGUAAUUCCAGCUCCAAUAGCGUAUAUUAAAGUUGUUGCAGUUAAAAAGCUCGUAGUUGAAUUUCGGGAUCAAUAUGCUGGUCGUGCCUUUGGUACGCACUGGUAUUAUUGGUUUCUCCUUUCUGAUGAAUCACGAUGUCAUUAAUUUGGUGUCAUGGGGAAUCAGGACUGUUACUUUGAAAAAAUUAGAGUGUUUAAAGCAGGCUUACGCUUGAAUACAUUAGCAUGGAAUAAUGAAAUAGGAUGUUUAAUUCUAUUUUGUUGGUUUCUAGGAUUGACGUAAUGAUUAAUAGGGAUAGUUGGGGGCAUUAGUAUUCAAUUGUCAGAGGUGAAAUUCUUGGAUUUAUUGAAGACUAACUUCUGCGAAAGCAUUUGCCAAGGAUGUUUUCAUUAAUCAAGAACGAAAGUUAGGGGAUCGAAGACGAUCAGAUACCGUCGUAGUCUUAACCAUAAACUAUGCCGACUAGGGAUCGGACGAUGUUAACCUUUAUUGACUCGUUCGGCGCCUUACGGGAAAC
rnacentral:rRNA from 1 species